rnacentral:rRNA from 1 species
AGAACGAACGCUGGCGGCAUGCCUAAUACAUGCAAGUCGAACGAGGUCUUCGGAUCUAGUGGCGCACGGGUGCGUAACGCGUGGGAAUCUACCCUUGGGUUCGGAAUAACAGUUGGAAACGACUGCUAAUACCGGAUGAUGACGAAAGUCCAAAGAUUUAUCGCCCAGGGAUGAGCCCGCGUAGGAUUAGCUAGUUGGUGAGGUAAAGGCUCACCAAGGCUACGAUCCUUAGCUGGUCUGAGAGGAUGAUCAGCCACACUGGGACUGAGACACGGCCCAGACUCCUACGGGAGCAGCAGUAGGGAAUAUUGGACAAGUGGGGGCAACCCUGAUCCAGCAAUGCCGCGUGAGUGAUGAAGGCCUUAGGUUGUAAAGCUCUUUACCGAGAUGAUAAUGACAGUAUCGGAGAAUAAGCUCCGGACUAACUCCGUGCCCAGCAGCCGAC